CCUACGGGAGGCAGCAGUGGGGAAUAUUGGACAAUGGGGGCAACCCUGAUCCAGCCAUGCCGCGUGUGUGAAGAAGGCCCUCGGGUUGUAAAGCACUUUCAGUGAGGAAGAACGCCUGGUGGUUAAUACCCAUCAGGAAAGACAUCACUCACAGAAGAAGCACCGGCUAACUCCGUGCCAGCAGCCGCGGUAAUACGGAGGGUGCGAGCGUUAAUCGGAAUUACUGGCGUAAAGCGCGCGUAGGUGGCUUGAUAAGCCGGUUGUGAAAGCCCCGGGCUCAACCUGGGAACGGCAUCCGGAACUGUCAAGCUAGAGUGCAGGAGAGGAAGGUAGAAUUCCCGGUGUAGCGGUGAAAUGCGUAGAGAUCGGGAGGAAUACCAGUGGCGAAGGCGGCCUUCUGGACUGACACUGACACUGAGGUGCGAAAGCGUGGGUAGCAAACAGGAUUAGAUACCCCUGUAGUC
rnacentral:rRNA from 1 species